rnacentral:rRNA from 1 species
AUUGAACGCUGGCGGCAUGCCUUACACAUGCAAGUCGAACGGCAGCGGGGGAGAAGCUUGCUUUUCCUGCCGGCGAGUGGCGAACGGGUGAGUAAUACAUCGGAACGUGCCCUGUAGUGGGGGAUAACUAGUCGAAAGAUUAGCUAAUACCGCAUACGACCUGAGGGUGAAAGUGGGGGACCGCAAGGCCUCAUGCUAUAGGAGCGGCCGAUGUCCGAUUAGGUAGUUGGUGGGGUAAGGGCCAACCAAGGCGACGAUCAGUAGCUGGUCUGGGAGCACGACCAGCCACACUGGAACUGAGACACGGUCCAGACUCCUACGGGAGGCAGCAGUGGGGAAUUUUGGACAAUGGGCGAAAGCUUGAUCCAGCCAUUCCGCGUGCAGGAUGAAGGCCCUCGGGUUGUAAACUGCUUUUGUACAGAACGAAAAGGUUUCUACUAAUACUAGGAGCUCAUGACGGUACUGUAAGAAUAAGCACCGGCUAACUACGUGCCAGCCGCCGCGGUAA